rnacentral:lncRNA from 1 species
GGGAUCUAAGCUUCUUUAAUUAAGCUGUAGUAAUGCUGGAUUAUUUUUCCUUUCAGGGGUACCUUUUUUUAUUUAUUUUUAUUUUUAAAAAGUGGGCAGGGAUAGGUGAAUCUAAUACGACACUCUUGGGUUUGUAGAUGUUUCUUGGUAUCUUUGCCCUUUUAUUGUGAUGAUUUUUCGCCAAUGUUUUCUUAUUGGACAUCUUACAUGUGUCUUGACUGUAUAUGCCUUCUCCUGGAGAUGCUGUUGAUGCACCUGAGAUAGUGUUUGAUUGUAAAGUUAGUUACGUUUUCCUUAACAUGCGUAAUUCAGGUCGCAGGAGAGUUACAAAAAGUUGCUGCCUUCUUUUUUUUUCAGACUCUGCUAUUUUCUCUCACAUAUUUUAUCAUUGGCAAACAUGCAUACAAAAAUUGAUUGCACUUUCUUUUACCUAAUUUAUUGCAUACAUAAUCUGUUUUCAGUCCAUUCAGGAUCUACAUAUUUACGUGUACAAUUUGAUUUGGGGAUAGCAAUGGUGCAGGUAUAUGCUCUUUUAGUGAAAUCAAACCUAAAUAAAUGCAUCCUGAAUAAGUGCUUUGAUAUUUAACGAUAAAACUGUACUUAAGCCUGCCGUGAAAGUUCUCUUGCAUCAUUUAAGAAUUCCAUAACAAUCCUCUAGAAUGAAAGUUAAAAAAGUAAUGAACAUGGACCUGAAGAGAUGUCAUCCGAGAUUAGAAUCCAUUCCUGUAAGGAAAUGCACUAAUAACAUAGAAAUGAUAAAGUGUGUAUUUGAUAAAAAAUAGUAACUCUAACAGGGAAAACCAUCAGGCAUCAAAAUCCUAAGAUGUGUAUAAUUGGUCACUGUAAUAGGUUGGGUAGCUCUGUUUACCAUAAUGGAAAGAUAUAUUUUCUGUCUGUAAUCCUCUCCAUACCUUCUGAUGAAUUAAGAAAAUUGAGUAAUAUUCAGAAGAUGUGUUUUAAUAUCAGUCUUGCUUUGAAACCAUGAUAAGAAAGAAUGGAGUACCAUCUACUCUCUGUAAAUAUGUAAAUUGAAUUGGAUUUUGAUGUAUUUUAACUGUAUAAGUUUGUGGGAAUAUCUUAAAUAAGUACUUUAGAAGGUUCAUCUCCAUUACAUAUCUACAUGAUACAACAUUCAACAUUGUUACAUCUAACAUGUCAAAGAUGACACGUCAGCAUGUCAAAUAAUAUUUAGCGUAACCAACUAAAUUAUGAGAUUGCAUAUGCUUAUGGUUGCUGAUUACCCAAAACCAUCCGUGGCAACUUGAUGGGAUAUGCACUUCUCCAUUUCCAUCUUCCAUUUUAACAUCUCAUACAUUUUUGCCUUCUCUUCUGUCUAGGGAAGUGCAUGUUUAUACAUAAGCCUUCCAUGAGGAAUUUAAUGCCAUGGGAUUUGGCAUCUUGUGGACUGGAGGUUUAGAGCAGCGACAGAGGCCACGGCAAUUUGUGGGCCGUAUUAUUGGACCACUAAUUAACCUUCCUUAUAUGACAGAGAUAUUUCUGCCACUUGUUAUUGUAGUGUGCUUUGUACUUUCUACUAAUCAUUGUGAUGUGGCUAAAGUCAAUUUUUGCAUGUUCCCAAUCCGAUCUAGGGAUUCUUUUUAUUGGACUUGAUAUAUUGGUUACUCUUUUUUCUUUCAAUAAGCAAAGAGGCUGGACAUCUGUUUUAGAGGGGAUGAUGUCAGUAUGUGUAUGAAUAGCUCCAAGAACUUGUUUUCUGUUAUGAAAAUGAUGUAGUCUUUGCUUUCUGUUUUAUGGGUGGGGCUAUUUUCUUUUAAACCUUGUGUUUCUUAGCAUCAAAAGAGGAGUAACAUCUGUUCUUUUGAUAUCUCUGAAGGAUCAAAGCAUGCUGAAGUUUUUGCUUUGAUGGGGUCAGUUGAGGUUAUUCUUGGAAAAAAGAGACACAGAAUGAGGAUGGCUAGCUGUUUUUGAACCCCCGUGAAUGAACCAUUUGCAUCUCUUGCAUGAAGUAGUUCUGUUUUUACAAGUGCCCACUGAUUUGGAUCAAAACGCGUGGUUUAUCUGUUACAGUUUAAAGCAUGGUUUUGGAAUAGGUGCAUGAUUGCAAUUAGUUAGCUGCAUGCGAAUUAAAAUUAGACAACACUAGUGCACUUUUAUAUUCCCAAUUAGAGGAAAGUAGCUGUCAUACGUUUUCAAAUGUACCGGAUCUUUUUCCUUUCUCUCUCGAAUGGUUUAAAUUCAACUGAUUUCAGUAUGCAAUCCCGUUUUCUCUUAUUAUUGGGCUCUUUUUUUUUUUUUUAAUUUAAUAUCAUUGAGAGUUCUUAAAAUAAAUUUCUGUUGUUGAUGAUUCAAUUCAGUAACUUGUGGAGGACAACUUCUGAGGAAAAGAGGGAGUUGGAGCGCCUGGAAAAACCAAUAUACAAUUCCGUUCGCCAGGCAGCGGAAGUUCAUCGUCAGGUAGGUACUAAAACUUUGAUAUUUAUCUGUGUGCUUGGACAUGUCUGUUCGCAUUUGAGAGCAACCCGAAGAAAUGAAUAUUUCCCUAUUUGGUUGCUGAGAAAAAUAUAUUUGGCUGGCUCUUUUCUUCCAUUACGGCAACCUUGUAACUGUGUUCAGGUUCGGAGAUAUAUCAGGCAGAUUUUGAAGCCUGGAAUGUUAAUGAUUGAUCUGUGUGAGACCUUGGAGAAUACUGUACGUAAAUUGAUAUCAGAGAAUGGUCUCCAAGCUGGCAUUGCAUUUCCCACAGGAUGCUCAUUAAAUUGGUGAGUAUGAAUGUGUUGUUCGUGCAAUAUUAUGUAACUUAAGAAAUUGAAAACACUUUAUAAACAUUCACUAUGUCAGUUUUUUACCGUGUUAAGAAACUGAAAACACUUUAUAAACAUUCACCAUGUCAUUUUUUUACUGUGUUUACUUUUACAGCUUCUAGUCAGCUAAUUCAUUUAUUUCUUCUUUUCUCUUUUUCAAACUGAGUUCUUUUUCCUCUCUGGUUAAGUUCUUUCUGCUUCUAACCUGUUUCUUCUUACAGGGUUGCAGCCCACUGGACCCCAAAUUCUGGAGAUAAAACUGUGCUUCAGUAUGAUGAUGUCAUGAAACUGGAUUUUGGAACUCAUAUUGAUGGUACUAUUUUCAAAUCUUACGUCUGGUGGUCUGUGGGCAUGCUUCGUACUGCCUCAUUGGUUUUACUUGUUUUUGUUUGCUUAGCAUCAUUCCACUGUUGGUGUUUAAUUCUGGCAUGUUUGUACUUGCAGGACAUAUAGUAGACUGUGCAUUUACUGUGGCAUUUAAUCCUAUGUUCAACCCUCUCCUUGAAGCCUCACGUGAAGCCACAAAUACGGGAAUCAAGGUGGGUGUAUUUGUGUUGGAUAACUGGAAAGAAGUUCUUUAAAGUGAAAAUUUGAAACCUGCUGGUAAAUAAGUGAAAUUUAAUGAGAUGUAAACUUGUCGUCCAAGUUAUAUAACAAAUGAUUUUCACAAUGCAUUCUGUUAAAACCAACUCAUAUCUUCACCGUAUUGUAUACUUUGUUUCAUUUUCAGGAAGCUGGAAUUGAUGUCCGCCUUUGUGAUGUUGGUGCUGCAAUCCAGGAGGUCAUGGAAUCAUAUGAGGUUGAAAUUAACGGCAAAGUAUACCAAGGUAAUUGAAAUUGAAAUGAAUGUAGCUUUACUUUACAUCUGUCAGAUGCUUUGAGGUUAGAAUAAUGGCUGAUAAUGUGAAACCUUUUUUUAUUUUUUUGGUGAUACUUUUACUAUUUGGAGUCCAAUUCUUCUUUAAAUGUUUUACAAUCUUAAUAAUUAUUACACUGAGAACCAUUUGAUUUUACUUGUUGGGAUAGUACUUUUGGUAUAGAAACACUACCUAAUAUCUUUCCUUUCACUCUCUAGGUUACAUUUUUAUUGGCUGAACGUUGUUUAAGAUGAGUGCAUUUAUUGUACAAUGAAUGACGAUUGGCAAAACACUCCAAAAUUACACCCUUCAUUGAAUUCAUUGGUAAUAGAAAGGCCUUUUGCUUGGUUAAGCAUUUUCAAGAAGGGUAAAUUUUUGGGGGGAUAAGAAAAAUUAUUGCAGUAAAUGGCUUUUGAGUACUGAUAGGGGCCAAAUUUUGGCAGAGUCCAAAAAGAAAUCUGGCCAAUAAAACUGGGCUUGAUUUAAUGCUUUUUAAUGGCUUUACAGGCAUAGAUUGAAUAUUAUUGCUUGCAAUAUAUUUUGUCUUCUGGUCAUCCUCAGCGUUUAACCUAAACAGGAGGCUAAUAUGUAUCAUCUUGUGUCCUUUCUUGAUUUGAGCAGACUUCAGGGAUUCCUUUGGAUGUUCAGGCUGAUAGUUAUCAUGCCAUUUUCUUGGUUUAGAGCACUGUAUACAAACAGUGAAAGAUAAUUUUCUUUAUCUCUAUCUCAGGGAAGUUUGCAAAGUUAAAAUUCACGGAAACAAGGACUUUCAUAACUAGUCAAAAAAGCAUUAUGAUUUUUAAGUUUCAAGUCAUGACUGGUUGCUGGAUUCUGUUCUUAAGCUGUACUUUGUGUUGUGCCACAACCACCAUGAAAGAAAUUUUUUUUUGUUGUUCUUUCAUUUUUGUAUUUUGUUGUACUUGUAGUCUGUAUUCAUCUUAUGAUAAAAUUUCAUAUAAUGAAUGACAUUUAAUGUGUUUGGGGUUGCUCUCUGUCAGUUAAGAGUAUCCGAAAUUUGAAUGGGCACAGUAUUGGAAGUUAUCAAAUCCAUGCUGGAAAAUCUGUUCCAAUUGUGAAAGGAGGAGAACAAACAAAAAUGGAAGAGGGCGAGUUUUAUGCAAUUGAGACCUUUGGAUCAACAGGUGAUGGUUUCUACAUUUUUUGGCUGAGUACUGUGCUUGAUGGAACUUAAAUCUAUAUGCAGAUUCAUUUUCCUGUUAUUUGUUUUGUACAGGAAAGGGGUAUGUCAGAGAAGAUCUAGAGUGCAGCCAUUACAUGAAGAAUUUUGAUGUUGGCCAUAUACCAUUGCGAUUACCGAGAGCAAAACAGCUUCUGGCAACAAUUAAUAAGAACUUCUCUACAUUGGCCUUCUGUAGACGUUAUUUAGAUCGCCUUGGGGAGACAAAAUAUUUGAUGGCACUAAAGAAUCUAUGUGAUUCUGGGAUUGUUCAGGUAUUUCACGUUAAUUUAUUGUCAGUGAGGUAAUGAACUUUGAAGAAAUGGAGGUUUCAAUUUUGACAUUAAUAAAAGAAAGAUUUUAAGAUGUGGGGGGAGCAUGUGAUUUUGUGGAUGUGGAACCUUCUGGGGUGUUUAGAUAGAUGCCAUUAUACAUCAUGUCCAAAUGGUGAGAGGAUCUUCCUAUAUCUUGCUGAGUAUGUUAAGAUGACUGGAAGAUGCAAAAUAUCAAAAUCUAGAAAGAUCUGAAGAUAUGUGUCGGCAGACAUAUUACCUAAUGUCAUAGAAUGGAAUACUGGGAAUUACCUGUGAACUAGCCAAGUUCAUAAUGGGGUAUAUAACUUGGUUUGAUAAAUUUCUCUCCUCUCUUGAUUUUAGAUUCUAGCUAUAUAUAUUAACAGAAGCUUGUUGUAUGCUUUUCAGCCUUACCCUCCUCUAUGUGACAUCAAAGGCAGCUAUGUAUCUCAGUUUGAACAUACCAUAUUACUCCGUCCUACUUGCAAAGAGGUGAUAUCAAGAGGCGAUGACUAUUAAUGGCACGACAAAGUGUGAUGAUGAUCUGAGCUUAAUCAAUAAUUAGGGUUUACGUUCUGCCGGGCGCUGUGCGGAGGCUAGUCCCUAUUUGUUGUGUAUCUUUAAGUCUCCUUAUUCGACUAACAGCUACAUGCGGCUACCUUUUUCCUUUCCCACUGUUUUGUUUGGAGAAUGGUUCUUGUUAGGAAAACUUGUGCAACUGAUUGAUUAUCUGUUGGUGAGAGACAGAAUGUGAAGCUUAUUAUGAAAGGUGCAUUUUCUUGAGAUUGAAGAACUGGGCUAAAUUUUUGAUACAGAAUACAGAGAAGCAUAGAUCAUGUGGUCCUCCGGUGAUCAGGAGGCUAUAACUAUAUGGUUGGAAGGAUGCAAGGAUUAUUUUCAAAUCCUGGAAGCUCGGAUGGGAACAUGGGCGAGAAAUUUCACAAGAAAAAAAAGGACAGAGGAAGAAAUAUUAAUUCAGUUAAAAAAAAAAAAGAAAAAAACUUGAAUGUGUUUGUAAACUGCCAUAAAUAAUGAACCAUGAACAAAUUCAAUAUUUAUGCCCCAAAAAAUCAUCACAUUUCUUCAUUUUGAAACUCCCAAAACACCCCAAGAUAAAAACUUUUGGGUCUUGCAUUUUGUUUGUUUAUGUCAAAACUAGGCCCAAACGAAUAAUAUUGCAUUGUUAUUAUUGUAAACGGGUGGAGGUUGGGCUGCUUCUUGACAUUCAAAGCCUACUCGCACGGUAUUGGUUAGUUUUAGGUUGAUCCGAAUCAUAGGCGUCGAGUUAAUUGGAUUGGAUUGGAUUGGAUGGGGCUGGGGGGCAGCAUGAGCUUGUUGAGGGGAGGCUGCUCCUCCUCCUCCUCCUCCUCCUCCGGCGGCUACUGCUGCUGUUCUAGUAGCAGCAGUAAUUAUGGAUAUGGUGGUCGUCGCCCUGUACUGCUACGAGCUCUACUUCCCUCUGCCACUGCUUCUGCUACUUCAUCUUCAACGCCGCGGCCUCUGCAGCCUCUCCUCCUCCUCAGGCCCAGAGAUAAGAAGAAGACGAUUAUACUAACCCCACCAUUCUCCACUUCACCUCCUACUAAUCCUAAUUACUCCUCCUCCUCCUCCUCCUGGGCUACUCCUAAAAAACUAACACCGCCAUUUCUGCUGCCUUCCCCGCUCAUCACAAAAUUUACUCCUGUUACUCCCAUUCCAACGUUGUUGCCGGGGUGGAAACGCUGUUUCUGCACUGCCCCCUCCUCCUCCUCCUCCUCCGUCAAGGUGGAGGAUGAUGACGAUGAUGAGAUGACCAAGAUCAAAGAAGCCGCCAACACAUUGGACAUUCGAGUGGGCAAAAUCCUCAAGGCCUGGAGGCACCAGGAAGCUGAUUCCCUCUACGUCGAAGAGGUCGAUGUUGGGGAGCCUGAACCCAGAAUCAUUUGUAGUGGCCUCGUCAAAUAUCUGCCCCUCCACCAUCUUCAGGUACCAUAUUAUACUGUUCUACUAUUUCUACUGCUACUAAGUCAUGCAUCAAAAUUACCCCUACUGCUGCUGCUGCUGCUUGUUAAGCUAUUAGUGACAAAUUUGGACAACCCUCGUGCUUAAUACUACUAGUGCUAGGCCACGACUACUAGUUAUUGACAAAAAUGUCUGCUUCUAAGCUAGCCAUGUCCCCAUAGAGCCUUCCAUCCCCACUCUUUUAUUGCUAUCAUCAUAAGGAAGACUGUGUUCAGCAUAGCGUCGCGCAUGCUUGAACAUACCAAGCUUUUUACUUUCCCAAAAGCUCAUCGGACGGCAUUUUCAAUUGAGAAGAGCUGGUCUUCUGUCUCUUCUUUGAGCAAACCUUCAGGUGAAAAUAUCUAACCCCAUGAGAUCAACAUGCAGGGCAUCAAUGUGGUUGUCCUUGCUAAUUUGAAGCCAAGGAAUAUGCGUGGUGUCAAAUCAUCCGGAAUGCUGAUGGCAGCUUCUGAUGCAUCACAUGAGAACGUGGAGCUACUAGUGCCUCCUGAAGGCUCAGUUCCUGGUCAAAGGAUAUGGUUUGGUUCUGUGGAUGAAAAGGAGAAUCUUCCAGAUGCCGCAUCGCCCAAUCAGGCAAAUUCUCAAACUCUCAUUGCGUAAAACAAGUUCCAAACUUUUAUUUGGUAUGGUAUGGAAUUUUUCAUGUCAGAGACAACAUCUAGACGUGCACAGAAAAGCGGGUAUUAAACCCUUAGCUUUCCCGUUAUAGACCUCUCUAGGCAAAAGAUAAUUUAGUGGCGACAUGCCUCGUGUAUCAAAGCCUAUAAGUAUGAACUUAAGUAAGCAAAAAAAUUAUAUGAGGGUAGUACAUCACUUUGUUGGACAAUUGAAUGUAUGCUCUGCUCUAAAAUACUUUACGGUUACGUUAUAAAUGUCUCAGCUCUUUAAUGCAUGGUAUUCAGAAUUCACAUGGUCGGCUUUUGGUUAGAUGUUUAGUAACAAAAUUCUUCCUGAUCUUUUCCAUUUUCUUAUGGGAGUUCUCCAGGAUCCUGUUUAUAAACUACUUUGUUGGUAGGUUAUAGCUUGCAAGUUCAUUGACAAAUGAAAUUUGGGCAAGAACAAUAAUUUUGCGUUACUUGUGGAAUUUUUGCUUGGUCAUAUCCUCAAUGAAGAGAACUCUGGUGUUUAUUAAAGUACUACUUAUGUUGGUUUGAUGGAUAGGGCUUCAAAUGCAAAGGUGAUAAGUUAUACUAAUACAGGAUCGUAAAAAUGCUCAAAUGAUUAUAAUUCAGCUUUGCAUUGAGAUGAUGAAUUACUGAAGAGGACACUGGGCAAAGAAUAAUUAGCUUUCCUUAAUAAACCUCUUCAAUGCACCUUUUGUAUUUUUGAUUUCAUUGUGAAGAACAAUGUCAUAGAUGUCUUACUAAUGCAUGGAUGCUAGUAGAAUCUCAAUGUAAAACUGCCCUUGGUAAGAAAGUGAGUGUGCUGAAACAGUUAUUAGCGAUACUGAAUAAUUUAGUUCUGUUAUUCUUUUCUGUAGGUAAAACAGUUAGAUUUUAUCGAUGAAAACAAAGUCAAGUUUGUAUAAACAUAUGGGUGAUACCCAAAUACCUUUUAGUAAAUGAUUUAUUAAAUGCGGCCUGGCAAGAAGCAGAACUUUUCGUUCAAUGGGUUACUAAUUUUAUUCGUCCAUAAACUGAUUAUGUUUAUGGCUUCGUAAAAUGAUAAGGUCAAAUCAACAUCAAGUCAAAUAUUGAGAGAUAACACAUAUUUCUUCUCAAAGAAACAUACAUCACUGCCAUGUCACCAGAUUCAGCUGCUGAAAUGUUAGGUCACUUCCUUGCCCAGUCAAGUUGUCAACCCAAUCUGAUCAACUGGCUGUUUAGUCGUUGGCCUUUAAUAUGAGAAUUUUUAGUUGGUACGCAUCACAUAUUGCAAUGUUUACUGUGGUUUUUGCUUACUUAUUAAGGAUUAAAUAAAAUAUCAUGGCACAACUGAGAUGUUUGGAUGAGAAUGUUUUGCAAGUUUGUUACCAUAAGCAACUAAAGGCAUAUUGUAUUUACUUUUACUAGAUAGACAAAACCUUUAAGCUAUCCUAACAGUAAACAGACCAGAUAUUGCUUUUGUUGUAAGAUUGGUGAACCAGUUUCUGAAUUCACCAAGGUACAGUGAUUAGACAUACUGAAACUUAAAAUGUCUUAAAGGUGCCUUGGGUCAUGGCUAACUCUAUCAGAACAGUCAUCUUAAAAUAUUUUGUUGUUAGUGGAAUCCUGUUUCAUGGAAGUGCAAGAAACAAUCUGUGGUUUCAAAGUCUGGUGUUGAAUCCGAUUAUAGGGCUAUGGUGCAAACUAUGUGCAAGUUGCUAUAGCUGAAACAGCUGUUGAAGGAACUUGGUCUUGAAAAUAAUAAUCCAAUGGAUCUGCAGAAGGCAAGCAACUCUACGUAUUGUAUCUAAUUAUCUGGACAACUGUGGGUGGACAACUGUUAUUUGUGUACCUGUUGGUGGAAUCUUGUUUCUUGGAAGAGUAAGGUACGGUGCUAAAUGCCAAUAUAGGGCUAUGGUGCAAACUACAAGUGAUUUGCUAUUGCUGAAAUAUCUGUUGAAGGAACCUGGUUUUGUAAGUAAUAUGCCAGUGGGUGUAUCAUGCAAUAAUCUUGCAGCUCUUCAUAUUUGCAUCUAAUUACCCUGGCUGCCGCCACCUUGCAGUGGACUGGGGAAAGUGAAUACCCUUGACGCACACCCACCAACCUGUGAUCAGAAGGCUAGCCUCUUUCUAAGGAUAUUUGGUGGACUUUAUACAUAGACAAAGCACAUUAAGAUAGAUUCUCACUACAUCUGCAGAUUAUAUGUUAAAAGAUGAGCAGCUAGUAGACUCGCUCAGUAAAUGUUUUGGCAGUUCUAGAAUGCAUUUUACUUGUAACUAGCUAGGGUAUUACUAGAAGUAUUGAGGAUUUGAAGGUCAAUAGUUAUGUUUUCAUAACAAAUAUUGUGGUUCAGGGAAUUAAAGCAGAAAAAGGGCAACCCAAAUGGCCAUUAAACUAUUCCUUUGGUGUAAUUUUGGCUACUGGACUAUUUUUAGUUCCAAUUUUUCCACUGAACUCCUAAAAACAUUUACAUUUGGCACUUUUUAAUGUUUCACUGUCAAGUCCUUUCUCUUCGGUUAAUUUAGGGGGAUACCUUUUUCCAAAUGUUUUUCUCUUCGGUUAAUUUAAAAGUUUUACUUGAAUUCUUGAUUAAGGUAUCUUGAAUGCACCCAUGUCAGUCAAACAUCUGUGAGUGAAUGGAGUGUGACAUAGUUUUAGCUUAACGUGCUUUUGUUUGACUUGACUAAACCAUUGAUGCAACUAAUGAUCCAAAGAGGAUGAUUGGAGGAAGAGCUGUUUUUCUCAGCUUGUGGGCUUGUUAAUGGAAUGACAGAAAAGUGAUUGUUGAUUUGGUACUGAGGCUGUCGGGUCGCAUUGCAGGUUGGAGUCGGUAAAGCUCUCUGACUUUUAAUACUGAAUUAGUUCUAUGACUGAAUUAAAGGUUCCAAAGGUCAUUGUGCAAGAAUUUGGUGUCAAUGCAUAUCUGCGAGCUCUCUCUUUGUUGUCUUCAGUGCAAAGUAGAAAGACACUGAAUUUAUGCAUUUUUAAUUUUCUAUUCUGCUCGGCUUGUUAUGCUUCUUUCCAAUAAUUUGCAGAUUCAGAAGAAAAAGAUCUGGGAACAGGUUCAGCCUCAUCUGGGGACGGAUGACUCGUGUAUUGCUGCACUUGGUAUGCACACCAUGCGAACAACUGAUGGUGUUGUGGUCUGCAGAUCUCUAAAGAAUGCUAGAAUAUCAUAACAGGCAGUUGGAAGCUCGUCAAGGUCACAGGAUUCUUUGGUCUCAUAACUUGCACUUCUAGUGUGCCCCACUAUCUACUGCUGUCUUUGGACCUAAAUUUCUGUGCAGUAUGUCCGCUGGUUUUUAGUGAGAUAUUGCAGGAAGAAAAGAUAAAUGAUAAUGGGCCUUGUCUAUGUUUGACCUGUCAUAGUUUACAUCACUAAUGUAUGGUCAUUCUUUUGUCUUUUAUCUAUCUUUUGUUGACACUUUGGCAAAUAGCUGAGAAUGUAAUCUGGCUUGCAGACUUGACCUUCGGAUUGAUUUUUAUUAGGUUCUGCUGGCUGUAAAAAUUUAGGAGCGUUGUGACUUAAAUGGCACCAUUAAGAUUAGAGUUGAUUUUGUUCAAUGGGAGAUAAAAUGAGACAAAAAAAAGUUACUGAGUAAAGUGAGAAACGAGAUAUACUUUGAUGCGAUUAAAUGUGAUUAACCCUUAAGAUUGGUUGCAUUUAUUCACUUUAUAACAUGGUAUAGUUUUUGCUUCGCUAAGCAAAAAUUUUCAGCUUUCGACACCCAAUUUGAUGACAUCAAAAUUUGUAAUAAAGGAAACGUCUCUUUAUAAUUAUUGUAGAAACAGCUAUGGAAUUUGAUUAAAACUUGAAUCAUAAAGAGGGGAAAUGGGAUAAGUAGGAGGCGUGGUAGUAAAAGUAAAGAUUAAAAGACCCCAAGUUCUGGAGUUUCGGAAAAAAAAUAAGGGGACAAAGGGCAAAAAAUUAGCACUGAUCAAAAUUAACAUAACUUUUCGUUGCCGUUUUGAUAAAAAAAAAAAAAAGGAUUUCUUUUUACUUUUAGCGAAAACAAAUGGAAAACAUUAGACGCAAAAAAUAAAAGAAACCAAAUAAGAAAGGGUUUUCUAACCAAAAAAAUAAAAAAUAGGGAUAAUUUCAGAAACCUCCCCUGAGGUUUCUGACAGUCUCAAGGACCUCCCCUGAAGUUCCGAAAAUCCCUUAUACCUCCCCUAAAACUAAGUAGAUAGUUUCAGGUCCAACCCAAUUGAGGUGGACAAUGAAUAUAAAAUGUGUUUCAGGAGAGAGAAAAUAAUCAAAUUCCACCUCUGCCCUCAAGAUUGUCAUUAGUGAGGAUGUUUAUGUUGAAAAUUUCAAUGGAAUCUAGUUCCUUUGAAAUUGCAGGGGGUGUAUGUGAAACUGAUGGAAAAAGGUAAGGCUGUAUUGCAAGAAAUUGUCUUCUAGUUCAUGCCAACGGCUCUCAAAGUAGUUCUUUGUGACGGUAAUAAGAAACAGUAGUGUUGCUUUGGAGCUCUAUAUAAUUGCCUACUGAAGUUGCAAGAGAAACCAGUGAAUGUUGUUGGGUUGUGACUGAGGUUUCUGCAAAAGUGCUCAUACAAGUAGCAAAAUUCUAAUCAAAAUCUAUUUUUUGAUCACAACAAGAAGUGUUACCUAUAACAGGAGCGGGCAGUUUAGAAAUUUAUUUAUCGGAUAAAAUAAAUUUAAACCCAUUGUUGAAUAAAAGACCAGCUCUUUAUGGCUUUCGUCCAUUAUACUUACGGAGUACCCAUUUUCCUUAAAUACUAAUUUAUUUGUCGGAUAACAUAAAAUAAAUCCGUUGUUGAAUAAAAGAGCCCCACUUUUCAAAGCUUUCAUUCAUUAUAAGAACAGAGUACCCAUUUUUCUUAAACAAAAAUUUAGUUAUUAGAUAUAAUAAAAAUUAACUCGUUGUUGAAUAAAAAACCAGCUCUUUAUGGCUUUUCUCCAUUACAACAACAUAGUACCCAAGGUCCCUUAAAUAGAAAUUUAUUUAUCGGAUAAAAUAAAAAUAAAUCCGUUGUUGAAUAAAAGACCAGCUCUUUAUGCCUUUCGUCCAUUAUACUCACAGAAUACCCAAAGUGCCUUAAAUAGAAAUUUAUUUAUCGGAUAAAAUAAAUUUAAACCCAUUGAAUGCCGAAAUUAAAAUAAAAUAAAAUAAUAAAGAUGAGUAUUGAUUCAUAAUAGUAAAGAACCAGAUUCAUUAUCAUGUGCUUCCAGUUUUGCUUAUUGAAUACCACAUGACAGAUUUUACAAAAACACAGUGUACAAGUAAUAGUGCAAAUGGAACUUCAGUCUUCUGUUGAGAAGCAUUUUGAGUGUACAACAGCCAAAUCUUUCCACUUAUGCAUCCAGGUUAAUACAAAAAGAUAAAUUCGUCCAAAACAUCAGAUAACUAAUGUUCAGAUACCAAAAUUAGAUAACCAAGACAUCUAAAAGAUCCUGAUAUUCAUCAGUAAUGAUCAGAUAUUCAUGUCCUCUGAUAUCCAAAUAACAAAAGACUCUUAAUAGAUUCUACUAAAAGGUGAAGCUGCUACUGACAUUAUGAGAAUCAUGAGAAACUGAAGCAUUGAUGUUGACAUCAGUUUGUACUUGGGCACUUCCACUGGGAUGUAGUGCAGCAGUAUGCAUUCCUGCAAAUGGUUGAGGUGCUGCUGUUGAAGUUUUCCUUUUGGGGUUAUAUACAACAGAUGGAGCAGAUUUGUUGGAAGGUCGGCCUCUCUGAAAUUGCAGAUGAAGCAUGAUUAAUAUACAGGCAUGUAAAUAAGCAUUAAAAGUGCAGCUAUCUCUGAAAAAGGAUUAAGGAACAAAUACCUUUCUCUUAGUAGCAUUGGUUGCUGUUUGCAGAUUCAAGUCAGCAUUCAUUAAUGGUAAUUGAGUUGAUGGACUUCGGUUAUUGCCUUGACUAGAAACUACAAUAGGCACAUUGCCAUCAGCAUGAUCCUGCACAAAUCAAUGGCAAGCAUUAGCUCAUCAGACAACAGCAACAUAAGAAAAGUCUGUUUCUGAAUCUAAAAGAAUUGUAACCCAUAGAACAGAUCCUGCAAGCCCUGUAUUUGCAAUUCCCCUUCCUGGCUUUCCUCUAGCAAAUUGAGUCCCCUGACAUGAAAAUUAAUAACAAAUUACAAGCUCGCUUAGCAAUUUCAAGUCUCUCAAUUAAACCACUAGACUGAACCUUGUUUGUGCUGGUGCUUGUACUCCUUUGUCUCACAGGUGCUCUUUGACAUGUUCUAGUAUUAUGUCCAGUAGCUUUGCAGUUGCCACAUCUCAUAGUGGUUGACCUUUUUGCUUGAGAUUGGCUUGGCUCAUCAGGCCCUCUCCUUCUAUUAACUCUUGGACGACCUGGAGCUCUUCUCAAUGGUGGUGGAAGGACAGUUUUUGGUGUGACAUCAAUUAAUGGAGGCCAUCUCUUCUCGUGAGGAAUUGGAUGUAUCAUGCCACUAUAUGUCUUGAGAUACAUUUCUGUUGAGAAGCAAGGAUCACAGUAUGUCUCCAACUUCUGUCUUUUGUAUACAAUUCCAAGUGCAGCAUGCUUGCAUGGGAGUCCAGACAAUUGGAAAGCUCCACAGUCACAUGUCUUCUGGUUCAAACUCACUAUAAAUGUUCUGUCACCAUCAGUAACUUCAAACGAAUCCUCACUGGCCAUCUGCAAUGAACAUCUCCUAGAAUGUAUUGCAAUUUCCUUGAGCUUUUCUAUGAUGUUUUUUGGGAUAGCAGACGUCCAUGUGCAAGCCUUCUGGUACCUUUUGUGUAAUUUCUUCAUAAAUUUUUUCCUCAGUCCUUCAACAAGUGUCAGUAUUGGUUGGCACCUUAAGUCUCCAAUCCAAGCAUUGAAGGAUUCCGUGAAAUUGUUUGUGACAUGGUCACAUUUCAAAUUUGUUGAGAAAGCAUGUCUAGCCCAAGCAGAAACUGGAAUCUUGGAUAAGUACCUCCAUGCUUCUAUAUUCAUGUCCUUGAUUCUCUGCAUUGCUUGUGUAAAUCCAACUGCAUCAUAACUCUUAGCAGCUUGCCAAAAGAAGGUACUCAGUAACACUCCAGGGAAUUGAGACUUGAAGUUCAUGCAAAUAUGUCUGCAACAGUAUCUUCCAAUUGCAGAUGGCAGCUGCUGUUCAUAUGCAAUGUUCAACCCCUACAUCAAAAGCAAAAAAUCAGUCAGCCUUUUUUACCAUAUCUACACAGCAGGUUGUCCAAAUUUGGCAAAGUAAAGUAUUUAGUAAUACCUUUUGUCUGUCACUCAUGACAGUUAAGGGACAGUUGUUAUCGAAUGGUCCAAAAAAUUCUUCAAAGAAAUGAAAGAACCAGCUCCAAGUCUCUUUGUUUUCUACCUCAACAAUAGCAAAACCAAUGGGAAAUAUGCUGUUAUUACCAUCCAAUGCAACAGCAGCCAGCAAUACUCCACCAAAACUACCUUUCAAAUGACAUCCAUCAAAUCCGACAAAGGAUCUACAACCACCUAAAAAUCCAUCUUUCUGACUUUUAAAGCUAAUAAAAAGUCUGAGGAACCUUGGUUCAACUAGUAGAUUUGGUCUGUCAUAAUGAAUCUUACAAACACUACCAGGAUUAUGUUGCCUAAGAAGCACAGCAUAUUUGGGCAGUUUACUAUAUGAUUCUGAAUGUGUGCCUUCAAUCUCUUCUCUUGCCUUUUGUUUGGCUCUAUACACUUGCUGUUUACUAGGAUGCACACCAUAUUUUAGCAUCUCAGCUUCAAUGCCCUUUCUUGACAAGUUAGGAUAGGUUCUCAUCACAGCUAUCAGUUUUUUGGCCAUCCAGUCAGAGGUGGCCUCACGAUUUUUAUUAUCCAUCACACAUGUGUGUUCAGGUGUGUAUGUCUUAAUCAUAAAUGUUACUGAAUCAGCUAUAGGGGACGCAUGAAUCCUCCAUGUACAUCCAGCACUAUCACAGAUUGCAGUACACCUGGUUUUCUCAUUCUUCAGCCUUUUGAUGGGAAAUCCUUUUUGGAUCACAUAAUCCUUCAGUGCUGCUCUAAAGGCAUCAACAUUAGUGAAUAGCUGUCCCUUCUUGAAUUCUAUGUCCUCUCUUGGAUUGUAAGUCCACAUCUUGUUUCUUAGCACUUCUUUUAAAGGGUCCAUUUCUUGCUCAGAUUCAGAAUCUGGUACAAUUAGAUCACCAGUUUCAUUAUCAUCCAAGUUUUGAAAACUUUCAUCACUGCUAGAAUUCUCAGACAGAACCAUUAGCUCAUCACCUAUAUCAUCUUCAUUGUCAUCAUCAAAUCCUUGCUUCCAUGAAUCAUCAGAGCUCGAUUCACCCCUAUACCCCUCAUCCUGGGAGUCAAUAACAUGAACAUUCUGCUCAUCAGCAGCCAAGGCAGAGUGUUUGUUCUGAAUUUCUAUGUGCUCACUCUCACCAUCAAUCUUUCUCAACAACAUGACAGGUUGUUCAGCUGGGAUAAUAUCCAUGUUGAACACCUCUAUAUUUAUGACUGGUUGACCUUCAUACACACUGAACAUAUCAUGGACAGCUUCAUCAUCAUUCACAUCAAUGUAAGCUUCUGUUCCAGGUAUUGCACAUCUCAUAUGUACAAGAAGAUUAAUAUUUCCAGGCAGUUCAUCUAAUGCCUUCUCGGCAACAUCAUUCAGCAGAUUAAAGAAAGAGUAUUUUUCAGGAUUUAUAUUGGAAAUUCGAACUUUUGUCCCUCCACAAUGGAGUACAAUGUCAUACACAUCACCAGUCACCAUCCUACAACAUCAGAUAUCACUAUUUAUGAACUUCAAUGUAUACAAACAUAUAAUACUAUGACAGAGUAACUCCCUAGACCUCAUGCAAACCACUUUGUAUGAUUCAUAUAAACAGCACCAUCACAUAUGCAUGAAUACACAUUCUAGUUUAUAACUAUUAUAACCAGAAAUAAUGAAAACAUUGUCAGGUGAUCAUAUUAAUAACAAAAGCAGAAACGCAGAGCUAAUGUAGGAAAAUAAGAAGACAUGCUCAGUUUCCACAUGGUCAGUAACCUUCAUCAGCCAUAAGCUACGUAGUAUCUAACCUUGCUUUGCUUCAGAUGCUCUCAGAACACCAACAGUUCACCCUUUGCAGCAAUACUUCAGCUCAAUUUCCAGAACUCAAUUUCUUCAAGAAUUCUCCCGUUUCUCCUGGAGCUCUCAAAUGCUCUUCUCAUGAUCAGUAUGGCUCAAGAAGGUCUAUUCCUCAUCAAAAUUAACGUUCAGUCAGCUACCAUUGUCACAUCAACAACCAAAUGGGCGCCCAUUUUUGGCGCCUUUUCUCUUAGCCCAAAUUAGCAAUUCAUUUUAUUAUCAAAUUCCAGUUAAGUUACUUAAUCCUUUCUAUUACUCAUUUCACUAAUUAAUUCAUGUUAUUAUCAGAAUAUAUUACUUCAACAGCAGGGAUAUUUGUGUCAAUUCAACGUUUUUCAAGUCAUUUUGGGACCCAACAAUCUGACAGGGGAGGUAUAAGGGAUUUUCGAAACUUCAGGGGAGGUCCUUGAGACUGUCAGAAACCUCAGGGGAGGUUUCUGAAAUUAUCCCUAAAAAAUAAGAGAGAAAUAUUCAAUAACAAUAAAACGGAACAAAAUAUAUAAGAAAGUUUGAAUAACAGUCAGAAACUUGUGAAUGGGAAACAGGAGAUGAAUCUGAUGGAGAGUACAAUGGAAAACAGAGGUCUUCUAGAAGUGUAAAAACAUGAAAAAAAAAAUUUCAAUGCAAAUCUGCGGAGAAAAAAAGAUUACCAUAUUAGUCUUGCUGACUGAGGAAGAAAGAGGAAGAUGGCAAAGGAAAAGAAAAGGAGAGAAGAGAAUGACGAAAAAGAGGAAGAAAUGAAAAGAGAACCAGAAGAGACCGAGGGAAAAGAGAGAGAUAAAAGCACACGGUUUCUGGCACACGGUUUCUGGCACACGGUUUCAGGUGGUUUGGGAAAUAGAAGGGAACAAAACCGGUACAAGGAAUCCAGGACCAACAAGUAUGAAGAAGGACGAAACACCAACAACAAACUUCACGACCCAUUCCCACUCUAUAUAUAAGUUCUUUAUGGUACAAUACUACAAAGUUAAUAAAGACUAAUUUUGAUAGGAGUCCGCGGAGAAAUUUGGGGUUUCUCCAAUUUUCCAUCGUUUUUGGUCAAGAGAAUUGGUGCAGCCACCCGCUUUGGUGCAGUUGCAGCAGUCCUAGUGAAAAUGGCAAAAGACGACGAAUUGGGGGCUGGAGCCGUCCCAGAAGAAGAGGGGCCAUCCGAAACUGCAGCAGCAGAUGAAACUGAGGAGAAAGUUGAUGAGCUCACUUUAGAUGGCCCACAAGGUUUUUAUUGCAUCGCUGCUUGGGUUAAUCGUAGUUAUUUUACAUUUCCAAUAAUCCCUUUUAAUUUGGUGCCAUGACUCUCGUUAAUCGAUCUUUAGAUAUUCUGAUUGUAAUAGAUUACUAAUGUGUGCGCAAUUAGUAGAAAAAACUUUCUGAACUUUGUUCUCUAAUUAAAUUGCAUCUGUUAAUCAGAGAACGACUUGUUGCUUCAUGUAUAAUCGUGGGAUUCCCUUGUUCAUCUUUUUGGUUCUAAGGUUUGUUCAGUUGCUUGAAAGAUAUGAUUUGUGAAACAGUAGUUGUUCUUCAUUAAGGUAAAAAGAAUUUAUUAAGCAAAAUUUUUUUUUUUUUUAUUCAGUACUUGUUAGGGUAGCUUCUUACAGUCAAACCUUUUGCGGUCUAAUAAGUCAAAAUCACAAGUCCAGUGAACACCUGAAAAGAAGUCCUAUCCAGUUUGUUUUUUUAAGGGAAUAGACUGGUUUAUUUUCCCAUUUUCAGCUUGGUAUCUAGCUUUGGUCUAUUCCAGUGCUGUUGAUGAUUAUCAGAUAUACCAAAUGAUUUCUACCUGUUCUGCUAUAUUCUCCUUUUUAUUGCUCACGAUUGUGUUUCAUUCCCAUGAUAAGCUGUCCUUUCCGGCCUGUUAAUAGAUUCAUUUUCUUUACUCCUGAGCAGCUGAGUUUCUUGUUUGCUUAUUAUAGCUCGUUGAACAUCGAUUUAGAUUAUUUGCGAAUGCAUAUGAAGAGAGGUUGGUCAUGCACAAACUUAUUCAUUCAGCUUACAAAUUCUCUGUUUCUUGGAAAAGAGUUUAGAUAAUAUGGAUAUUUAUGUUCGCCCAUUCAGGUCUAGCUCUCCUCAAACGUCAUUUUAGUUGUAGCAUCGUAUUUGUAUAUUUGUUCACUCUCUCAACACAUGCUGAAAUAUGAAUUAAGUUUUCAGGCAGCUGAUUAAGCAUUAGCAUCCAUUCCCCCUCAAAAGAUAUGUUUCAGUUAAUCCAGUAACCAAUCUAUAAAAAAAUCUGGACUUAAUUGACAUUUGAUACUUUUUUUGAAAUUUGCAUAGCAAAGUGAUAUAUAAUUACUGAUUCAUUCUUUUUGAUAAAUAAUUUAAUAGUAGUAUUUGCUCUUACACUUGGGCCUUUUGAAAUUCACAGAAGCUGCUAAAAAGAAGAAGAAAAAAAGUAAAAGCAAGUGAGCACUUUCUCUCCUUUCAUUGUCUUUUUUUCUCCUUAUGGAAGGAUUUAGGUUUUCAUUUCUCCUUUUUCAUGUUUUGCAUUUUCAGGAAGAAAAAAGAAAUGCGGGUGCAAACAGAUCCUCCAUCCAUCCCAGUUAUUGAACUCUUCCCUUCUGGGGAAUUUCCAGAGGGUGAAGUUCAACAGUACAAAGACGAGUAUGUACCCAUUACUGUAUGCUUUAUUGUCUUUGAUGACCUAUAUUAAGCAUUAUUGCAAUCAGAACAGAUUGUCUGAAAAAUUCGCAAUGGAAAGGGUCAGGAUAUUUUCUGCAUUUGAUUAUUGGUUGUAUUUAAAAGUUCAUAGUAGUGAGAUGGAGAGCAAAAGGAUUGUCUCUUUUAAUUGAUAAAUGCUUCUGACAGCAUUUAAUUUCCAUACAAGGGAAAGUUCCUGUAAGAGUGAAUGUGCAUGGAUAUACUAAUUCUUUACUACAAAGUUGCUGCAGUGUGCAGAUUGGAAAGCUUUUUAUUAGGAUGUGUUGGCGAAACUAUGUGAGCUAUGAUUGUCUGAGGAGAAAGCUCGAAUAGUAAAUCCACUUUUAGGGCCUGUUUGAUAACUCUACUUAAUGCUGAUAAUUAAUUUAUUCAGAAUUUUUUGAAUUUAGCAUGUUUGAUAAUAGAAAUUCCUUACUACUUAAUGUAUUAAGCACUGCAUAAUUUGUGUACAAAAUUUUAAGUGAAAAAAAUUUUGACUGACUCCUCUGAAUUGACCACACAUACUAUGCCUCUCACGCACAUGACACAAUCUCAUAGUGUUCUUGCACAUAGUGCACGUUUGUUUUCUUUAUGCUGGACAUAUACAAAGACACAGAUGCACGCGCACACACACUCUUACAACAAAUAUACACACUUAAAUACCACUUCUAAAUUAUUUCAUUAUUUUCUCUCUCACACACAUGCGCAUUUUUCUUUUUCUCCAAAUGCACAAAUAUAGGUUUAAAUAAAAAAAAAUAGAAAUACAAUUAUUAGAGAUAUUUUUACUGUAGCACUUUUUGUGAUGUGAUGUAUGUGAGAUAAAAAGGUAAUUGAAAAGGUAAAAAGGUGUAUUGGAAAUUGUAAUGAUGAUGUAAGCAAAAAAAAUUGGGGAAAUAAAGCCCAAUCCAAACAAACCCAUAAUUGUGCGAUAUUUCAAUUGAGUAUCAUAAUCCAGUUAGUUAUCAAACAAAUAUAACUUGAACAAUUCAGCAACUUAAUACAUUCAGCACUUAAUUUUCAGAAUUCAGAUUUCAGACUUUAGAUUUAUCAAACGGACCCUUAAUCCUGAGUUUUAUUAGUCUCUGGGCUUAUCUUUUUGUAAUUUAAAUAAUUUUCUUCAGUGGGGUGCUGGGGGAAGAUGCGUGCUUGCUCGUGGCUGCAAUGUGUUGAUGAGUUACUAUAUUUUCAUUGGCUUAUUCUGCCUGAUGCCCUAAGCAUUUUUCUGCUUGGAAGAUUUUAGCAUCCCAGUGCUCUUUCUAAGAGCAACGAAAAGAAGUGGGAUAUCUUGACACUUAAGAAUUUAUAUGUAUCUGAAAAUUAGGAGAUCUAAGCUUCUUUAAUUAAGCUGAAGUAAUGCUGGAUUAUUUUUCCUUUCAGGGGUACCUUUUUUUAUUUAUUUUUAUUUUUAAAAAGUGGGCAGGGAUAGGUGAAUCUAAUAGGACACUCUUGGGUUUGUAGAUGUUUCUUGGUAUCUUUGCCCUUUUAUUGUGAUGAUUUUUCGCCAGUGUUUUCUUAUUGGACAUCUUACAUGUGUCUUGACUGUAUAUGCCUUCUCCUGGAGAUGCUGUUGAUGCACCUGAGAUAGUGUUUGAUUGUAAAGUUAGUUACGUUUUCCUUAACAUGCGUAAUUCAGGUCGCAGGAGAGUUACAAAAAGUUGCUGCCUUCUUUUUUUUCAGACU